GCCGAAGUGGCGGAAUUGGUAGACGCGCUAGGUUCAGGGUCUAGUUGGGGUUACCCAGUGGAAGUUCGAGUCUUCUCUUCGGCACCA
rnacentral:tRNA from 1 species